rnacentral:misc_RNA from 1 species
AACACUGUUAACCUGCGGUACCUGCGGAAGGAUCAUUAAAGAUUGACCGAAAGGUCUUAUCUCUAUAUCCCUCACCUCUGUGAACUGUGGACCUCCGGGUCUAUUUAACAAACAUCAGUGUAAUGAACGUAUAUAUCAUUAAACAAAACAAAACUUUCAACAACGGAUCU